GUGUUCCCCAACCCAGUCCUCAUGGACCACCAACAGUCCAGAUUUUGUCAGUAUCUCCAUUGGAAUGAAACAGGGACACCUUCUGAACUGUUGGUGGUCCAUGAGGACUGGAUUGAGGAACA